ACCUAUAUAUACCGGCUGAUUGCACCUACUCUGGUCGUUUUCCCGCCAACUCACCGGAUGCGCCUCUUUAUGGGCAGUCAUCGACGUGGUAGUUAAUUGGUGCACGAUGGAGUUGCAAUUUCAGUACAUCAUGGGGCCGUACAUCAUUCAGUAGGUACAUCAUUCAUUCAUUACGGACAGUCACCGAUGCGAUAGUUCAUGGAGUUUCAAUUGAAGG